GAUGAAGAACGCAGCGAAAUGCGAUAAGUAAUGUGAAUUGCAGAAUUCAGUGAAUCAUCGAAUCUUUGAACGCACAUUGCGCCUCCUGGUAUUCCGGGGGGCAUGCCUGUUCGAGCGUCAUUUCACCACUCAAGCCUCGCUUGGUAUUGGGCAACGCGGUCCGCCGCGUGCCUCAAAUCGACCGGCUGGGUCUUCUGUCCCCUAAGCGUUGUGGAAACUAUUCGCUAAAGGGUGUUCGGGAGGCUACGCCGUAAAACAACCCCAUUUCUAAGGUUGACCUCGGAUCAGGUAGGGAUACCCGCUGAACUUAAGCAUAUCAAUAAGCGGAGGA
rnacentral:misc_RNA from 1 species